AUAUCAGGGUGAAAUGCAGCUUGCCAGUAACACUUCAGCUGCUGGGGGCUUGCUCCUCCAGCUUAAUACAUACCUUCCAAGUAACUUCUCUCGAAAGCAUUUCUGGAUAUCUACAACAGCAGACGGACUUAAUCUUUUGCACGAAGGUUGCCAGAGUACCUGCACCCUUUCUCAGCUCCAAACCUGACUUGCGCAACGCGGUGCUUCCGUAGACCCAGUCAUGAAGACCUACGGCCAGUGAGACGUCGCAAGAAGUUUAGCAGGAUGUCGUCUGCAUACAUGUUUGUAAAGAUCAUGCAAGAUGCUCUGAAUGUGAUAAUACGAGAUCUCACGUGACCCAUGGGGAGAGCUGCCAUGUCGUAACUUCUGGCUGACGACAUCGGUGCACUCGAGACGCAUUCUCCUUGGGAAACGCCAGCGAAGUCCUAAUCUUGCAUACGACGUAUUUCUCAAUCACGGUCCUUGACGGGCUAGUCGAGGACGUAAUUUCUCAUGGACCCAUCAUGCUGCACCAGUACCCGGCGAUGUGAUCCAACAGUUUGAAGUACUGCUGAACAUGGCAUGAACUUUCGUGUGCAAGCUUGUGCAUCCAUAUUUCAGCACAGCCCUCUCCUGACUCUCUCAUCCCGCAAUCGAAGCCCCCUGGCGUUUCUUCGGCGAAACGAAUGCGAUAAAUAAAUGUAUUAAAAUGA